rnacentral:rRNA from 3 species
UACGUAGGGGGCAAGCGUUGUCCGGAUUUAUUGGGCGUAAAGGGUUCGCAGGUGGUCCUUUAAGUCAGAUGUGAAAGAUCACAGCUCAACUGUGGUAAGCAUUUGAAACUGAAGGACUUGAGUUAAGGAGAGGAAAGUGGAAUUCCUAGUGUAGCGGUGAAAUGCGUAGAUAUUAGGAGGAAUACCAGUGGCGAAGGCGACUUUCUGGACUUAUACUGACACUGAGGAACGAAAGCGUGGGGAGCAAACAGG